UAGAAACAAUAGAAAUAAUGUUGCUGCCU
rnacentral:piRNA from 1 species